rnacentral:rRNA from 1 species
ACGGGAGGCAGCAGUGGGGAAUAUUGGACAAUGGGGGAAACCCUGAUCCAGCGACGCCGCGUGAGUGAAGAAGUAUUUCGGUACGUAAAGCUCUAUCAGCAAGGAAGAAAAUGACGGUACUUGACUAAGAAGCCCCGGCUAACUACGUGCCAGCAGCCGCGGUAAUACGUAGGGGGCAAGCGUUAUCCGGAUUUACUGGGUGUAAAGGGAGCGUAGACGGUGUGGCAAGUCUGAAGUGAAAGCCCGGGGCUCAACCCCGGGACUGCUUUGGAAACUGUCGUACUAGAGUGCAGGAGAGGUAAGUGGAAUUCCUAGUGUAGCGGUGAAAUGCGUAGAUAUUAGGAGGAACACCAGAGGCGAAGGCGGCUUACUGGACUGUAACUGACGUUGAGGCUCGAAAGCGUGGGGAGCAAACAGGAUUAGAUACCCUGGUA